ACUCUAUUAAACCUAAAGGCGCAAUGAAAGUAAAGGUCCGCCUCGCGCGGACCUAGGGAGGAUGAGACCGUCCACGGGCGGACUCCGCACUCCCGGGGCGUCUCGUUCUCAUCGCGAGAAGAGGCGCACCCAGAGCGUACACGCUGGGACCCGAAAGAUGGUGAACUAUGCCUGGUCAGGACGAAGUCAGGGGAAACCCUGAUGGAGGUCCGUAGCGAUUCUGACGUGCAAAUCGAUCGUCGGAACUGGGUAUAGGGGCGAAAGACUAAUCGAACCUUCUAGUAGCUGGUUCCUUCCGA
rnacentral:rRNA from 1 species